CCAGAUGGCCGGAUGACUGCUGCCCAGCGGGCAGAGGAAAGUCCGGGCACCACGGAAGGACGGUGCCGGUUAACGGCCGGCGGAGGCGACUCCAGGGAAAGUGCCACAGAAAGCAAACCGCCCAAUUGGGUAAGGGUGAAAGGGUGCGGUAAGAGCGCACCGCCUUUCCGGUAACGGAAAGGGCAGGGUAAACCCCACCGGGUGCAAGAUCAAAUAGGAACGACAUGUUCCGGCUUCGGCCGGGCAGCCUGCUUUCGGGGCGUUGUUCGGGUUGAUUGCAGGAGGCGGCUGGCAACAGCCGUCCCAGAUGAAUGGUCAUCGAUCCGGGAAACCGGUGAACAGAACCCGGCUUACAGGCCGUCUGGCGAU
rnacentral:RNase_P_RNA from 1 species